UACGUAGGUGGCGAGCGUUGUCCGGAUUUAUUGGGCGUAAAGCGCGCGCAGGUGGUGCGGUAAGUCUGUCGUGAAAUCUCCCGGCUCAACUGGGAGGGUGCGGUGGAGACUGCCGGACUGGAGGCACUCAGAGGCCGGUGGAAUUCCCGGUGUAGUGGUGAAAUGCGUAGAGAUCGGGAGGAACACCAGUGGCGAAGGCGGCCGGCUGGGGGUGACCUGACGCUGAGGCGCGAAAGCGUGGGGAGCGAUCCGG
rnacentral:rRNA from 1 species